rnacentral:rRNA from 1 species
UUCUCGCAAGUCGAGGGGGGAUUGCCUCCGCCUGGCACUGUUGCCCAUUCUAACCCUUUGUGAACUACAACUCUGUUGCUUCGGGGGCGACCCCGCCGUUUCGGCGGUGGCGCUCCCGGUAGCCAAUUAUUAAACUCUGCAUCUCUUGCGUCGGAGUCUUAAAGAAAUUUAAACAAAACUUUCAACAACGGAUCUCUUGGUUCUGGCAUCGAUGAAGAACGCAGCGAAAUGCGAUAAGUAAUGUGAAUUGCAGAAUUCAGUGAAUCAUCGAAUCUUUGAACGCACAUUGCGCCCCGUGGUAUUCCGCGGGGCAUGCCUGUUCGAGCGUCAUUUCACCACUCAAGCCUAGCUUGGUAUUGGGCGUCGCGACUUUGGUCGCGCGCCUUAAAGUCUCCGGCUGAGCAGUCUGUCUCCGAGCGUUGUGAUACAUAUUCGCUAGGGAUGACAGGUCUGUCGCGGCCGUUAAAUCUUUAUUACAGGUUGACCUCGGAUCAGGUAGGGAUACCCGCUGAACUUAAGCAUAUCAAU